rnacentral:rRNA from 1 species
UACGAAGGGUGCAAGCGUUAAUCGGAAUUAUUGGGCGUAAAGGGUGCGUAGGCGGUUUGGUAAGUCUGAUGUGAAAUCUAUGGGCUCAACUCAUAGUCUGCAUCGGAAACUGCCGGGCUUGAGUAUGGGAGAGGUGAGUGGAAUUCCUGGUGUAGCGGUGAAAUGCGUAGAUAUCAGGAGGAACACCUGUGGCGAAAGCGGCUCACUGGACCAGCACUGACACUGAGGCACGAAAGCGUGGGGAGCAAACAGG